CAGCCGCGGUAAUACGUAGGGUGCGAGCGUUGCCCGGAUUUAUUGGGCGUAAAGGGCGCGUAGGCGGCUCGAUGCGUCCGUUGUGAAAUCGCCCGGCUCAACUGGGCGGGGUCAGCGGAUACGGUCGAGCUUGAGCAAGCUAGGGGGCAAUGGAAUUCCCGGUGUAGUGGUGGAAUGCGUAGAUAUCGGGAGGAACACCAGUGGCGAAGGCGGUUGCCUGGGGCUUUGCUGACGCUGAGGCGCGAAAGCGUGGGGAGCGAUCCGGAUUAGAUACCCGGGUAGUCCACGCCGUAAACGAUGCGGACUAGGUGUCGGGGGUAUCGACCCCCUCGGCGCCGCAGCUAACGCAUUAA
rnacentral:rRNA from 1 species